ACUAGACUAGAUUGGAGAACAAGCUUUUGAUGUAGACUAUGUUGUGGUUGUAAUAAUCAAGUGUUGAGAGAGCUACAAUUACAGAGAUAAGCAGAUUAAACGAGUCAGGGGUAAGAAGAAACUAAGGAUUGAAGAUGGAAGAUUUUAUUACAUUAGUUUCUUCCUUGUUUUGUUAGAUUAGUCUGAUAGAUAUGUCUGAUGAUUAUUUACCAUUGUUUAAUGGAACUUUCAUUUCCUUGUACCUGAUAUAGAAUUUAGGUACUUGUUCUUUUGAACAAGCUAUUCUAUAAAUUUUAAUGUAUCUGAAUCUCAAAUAUGUAUAUCUUGGUCAAUAUUCUAGACAUUUGACAUUGGAUGUUACA